rnacentral:rRNA from 1 species
UACGUAGGGGCCUAGCGUUGUCCGGAUUUAUUGGGCGUAAAGAGCUCGUAGGCGGCACGGUUAGUCAGGUGUGAAAUCUCCACGCUCAACGUGGAGGGGUCACCUGAUACUGCCGAGCUUGAGUCCGGUAGGGGAGUGUGGAAUUCCCGGUGUAGCGGUGAAAUGCGCAGAUAUCAGGAAGAACACCCGUGGCUAAGGCGGCUCUCUAGUACGGUACUGACGCUGAGACGCGAAAGCGUGGGGAGCGAACAGG